rnacentral:rRNA from 1 species
ACCUACGGGGGGCAGCAGUGGGGAAUCUUCCGCAAUGGGCGAAAGCCUGACGGAGCAAUGCCGCGUGAGUGAAGAAGGCCUUCGGAUUGUAAACUUCUUUUGUACGGGACGAAGAAAGUGACGGUACCGUAAGAAUAAGCCACGGCUAACUACGUGCCAGCAGCCGCGGUAAUACGUAGGUGGCAAGCGUUAUCCGGAUUUACUGGGUGUAAAGGGCGAGUAGGCGGGAUUGCAAGUCAGAUGUGAAAACUAUGGGCUCAACCGAUAGAGUGCAUUUGAAACUGCAGUUCUUGAGUGAUGGAGAG